AGUGAACGCUGGCGGUAGGCCUAACACAUGCAAGUCGAACGGCAGCACAGUAAGAGCUUGCUCUUACGGGUGGCGAGUGGCGGACGGGUGAGGAAUACAUCGGAAUCUACUUUUUCGUGGGGGCUAACGUAGGGAAACUUACGCUAUUACCGCAUACGACCUACGGGUGAAAGCAUGGGAUCUUCGGACCUUGCGCGAUUGAAUGAGCCGAUGUCGGAUUAGCUAGUUGGCGGGGUAAAGGCCCACCAAGGCGACGAUCCGUAGCUGGUCUGAGAGGAUGAUCAGCCACACUGGAACUGAGACACGGUCCAGACUCCUACGGGAGGCAGCAGUGGGGAAUAUUGGACAAUGGGCGCAAGCCUGAUCCAGCCAUACCGCGUGGGUGAAGAAGGCCUUCGGGUUGUAAAGCCCUUUUGUUGGGAAAGAAAAGCAGCAGGUUAAUACCCCGCUGUUCUGACGGUACCCAAAGAAUAAGCACCGGCUAACUUCGUG
rnacentral:rRNA from 1 species